UGCGAACCCACGGCGCUGAGAAUAAUAGGAAAAAGCUGGCCGACGCGCACCAGCGUCAAAGGGAGCGACUGACAUCCGAAGGAAACCACUCUCUAUUACUGUUAGACGUAAAGAAAAGUUCAGUGAAAAAUCUAUAAUAUUACAGUCACCACCGCGACAGUGAUUUUACUGAUACUGCCCAUAACCGCGUGUCUCUUGGCCUUCUUUCGGGGGAAGCUGACUCGGGUCCUCCACAAAAGGACUGGCUGUAGAGGAAGACAAGAUGCAGAUAGUGAAGACCUCUAAAGCCGCUUCAACGAAACAGAGCACGUCAUGCAUGGAUAAUUCUCCCAAAAACAUCUCUUUAUACCGUUCGACGCCUGAUCAUUGUCCUUUUCGACAAAGAAAAUAAGAGUGAGAUUGAGACAUUUUUGUAUCCGUAGAUCAACAAAAACGAUUUGCACUGUUGUCUGAGCGCUCAAAGGUGAUGUACGUACUCUUCUAAAGCCAAAAAAUAGCAUGAAAAGUUUGUAGAUGCAUAGCUGUUUCUCUAAAAAAAUAACACAGCUACUCUGAAAUGUGUUUUGGGCAGAUUCCUGGCCAGAAGAGCAGUACCAAUUUCGACCUUUAAUCAACUCUGGAUCAUCCAGAUCUCUUCUGACAAGCGCA